AUUGAACGCUGGCGGCAGGCCUAACACAUGCAAGUCGAGCGGAGCGGCGGUUGGGUGAGUAAUGCUUAGGAAUCUGCCUGGUACUGGGGGAUAACGACCGGAAACGGGCGCUAAUACCGCAUCCUAUCAGAUGAGCCUAGGCCGGAUUAGCUAGUUGGUGGGGUAACGGCCUACCAAGACGACGAUCCGUAACUGGUCUGAGAGGAUGAUCAGUCACACUGGAACUGAGACACGGACCAGACUCCUACGGGAGGCAGCAGUGGGGAAUAUUGGACAAUGGGCGAAAGCCUGAUCCAGCCAUGCCGCGUGUAUGAAGAAGGUCUUCGGAUUGUAAAGCACUUUAAGUUGGGAGGCGUUACCAACAGAAUAAGCACCGGCUAACUUCGUGCCAGCAGCCGCGGUAAUUC
rnacentral:rRNA from 1 species